CACGCGCACCCGUGUAUUUUCUUCGUCGAACAUGAAUAUUUAAAAAAAAGCGUCUAAAAGUGUUUUAAAACUCCUUACAUUUAAAAAAUGUGAAAAGUUAAAAGCGCCAAACUUUAGUUUAAACACACGUUGAGAGAUUUCAGAGGGAAAACUUCUUCCGUGUGGCAGAGAAUAGCUUGUUUAUUUCAAGCUAGCGUGGAUAUUUGUGGAGAGUGAAGAGAGAAAAACAACACCUGGUUUAAGAUAAGGCGCCAUGAAGCUGAGGCAGACGACGAACGCAGUGCCCCCUACCACAGACUGUGCAUCCCACUCCCCUCCGGGAGGCGUUACAGGUCUCUCCGCAGCAGGUUCUGCAUCUCAGUGACAACCAACCAACUGUUAUGCAACCAUGUAGUCCAAGUUCCACAAUUAUUGUAUGGCAUUAUGUCUGUAUCAGUAUUUGCUUUCUACCAUACACAAAUAAAAAUGUCACUG